rnacentral:rRNA from 1 species
UACGAAAGGGGCUAGCGUUGUUCGGAAUUACUGGGCGUAAAGCGCACGUAGGCGGCCUUGUAAGUUGGGGGUGAAAUCCCCGGGCUCAACCCGGGAACUGCCUUCAAGACUGCAAAGCUCGAGGACGCGAGAGGUUAGCGGAAUUCCGAGUGUAGAGGUGAAAUUCGUAGAUAUUCGGAAGAACACCAGUGGCGAAGGCGGCUAACUGGCGCGUUUCUGACGCUGAGGUGCGAAAGCGUGGGGAGCAAACAGG